AACAGGAUUAGAUACCCUGGUAGUCCACGCUGUAAACGAUGUCGACUUGGAGGUUGUGCCCUUGAGGCGUGGCUUCCGGAGCUAACGCGUUAAGUCGACCGCCUGGGGAGUACGGCCGCAAGGUUAAAACUCAAAUGAAUUGACGGGGGCCCGCACAAGCGGUGGAGCAUGUGGUUUAAUUCGAUGCAACGCGAAGAACCUUACCUACUCUUGACAUCCAGAGAAUUUGCUAGAGAUAGCUUAGUGCCUUCGGGAACUCUGAGACAGGUGCUGCAUGGCUGUCGUCAGCUCGUGUUGUGAAAUGUUGGGUUAAGUCCCGCAACGAGCGCAACCCUUAUCCUUUGUUGCCAGCGGUCCGGCCGGGAACUCAAAGGAGACUGCCAGUGAUAAACUGGAGGAAGGUGGGGAUGACGUCAAGUCAUCAUGGCCCUUACGAGUAGGGCCACACACGUGCUACAAUGGCAUAUACAAAGAGAAGCGACCUCGCGAGAGCAAGCGGACCUCAUAAAGUAUGUCGUAGUCCGGAUUGGAGUCUGCAACUCGACUCCAUGAAGUCGGAAUCGCUAGUAAUCGUGGAUCAGAAUGCCACGGUGAAUACGUUCCCGGGCCUUGUACACACCGCCCGUCACACCAUGGGAGUGGGUUGCAAAAGAAGUAGGUAGCUUAACCUUCGGGAGGGCGCUUACCACUUUGUGAUUCAUGACUGGGGUGAAGUCGUAACAAGGUAACC
rnacentral:rRNA from 1 species